CAGAGUUGCAAAACUCCCAACACCUAUGUGGAUUAGCCUGCGAAUUGCUUCGGCGAGGCGGCUCCCCUGCGGGACGCCAGCGCCUUUACGGUGCAGCCCGCCGGAGACAGUAAAAACUCUUGCAUUUUGGAAUCUCUGAGUAUUAUACAAAUAAGUUA
rnacentral:misc_RNA from 1 species